AGGAGUUCUGUCUUCCUCUUCAUGGUAGCCAAGCAGUACAGAAAAAUCCCCAGUCUGAUUUAAAAUUAACAUUUGUAUCAGUGAAGGUAAUGCAUAUAUUUUGUUCCACUUAAUUAAAAUCACAUUAACAAUGUUUCCAGCUUAUUAAAACUUUUUGUGCUUUAUUCCCCUGGGAGCAAUAGCCACAAGAGUCACAAUGGCACA
rnacentral:lncRNA from 1 species